rnacentral:rRNA from 1 species
GAAACGGCUGCUAAUACCGCAUAAGCGCACGAGGAGACAUCUCCUAGUGUGAAAAACUCCGGUGGUACAGGAUGGGCCCGCGUCUGAUUAGCUGGUUGGCAGGGUAACGGCCUACCAAGGCAACGAUCAGUAGCCGGUCUGAGAGGAUGAACGGCCACAUUGGAACUGAGACACGGUCCAAACUCCUACGGGAGGCAGCAGUGGGGAAUAUUGCACAAUGGGGGAAACCCUGAUGCAGCAACGCCGCGUGAGUGAAGAGGUAUUUCGGUAUGUAAAGCUCUAUCAGCAGGGAAGAUAAUGACGGUACCUGACUAAGAAGCUCCGGCUAAAUACGUGCCAGCAGCCGCGGUAAUACGUAUGGAGCAAGCGUUAUCCGGAUUUACUGGGUGUAAAGGGUGCGUAGGUGGCAGUGCAAGUCAGAUGUGAAAGGCCGGGGCUCAACCCCGGAGCUGCAUUUGAAACUGCUCGGCUAGAGUACAGGAGAGGCAGGCGGAAUUCCUAGUGUAGCGGUGAAAUGCGUAGAUAUUAGGAGGAACACCAGUGGCGAAGGCGGCCUGCUGGACUGUUACUGACACUGAGGCACGAAAGCGUGGGGAGCAAACAGGAUUAGAUACCCUGGUGGUCCACGCCGUAAACGAUGAAUACUAGGUGUCGGGGCCGUAUAGGCUUCGGUG